AGGAUGAACGCUGGCGGCGUGCCUAACACAUGCAAGUCGAACGUCCUGUCUCGCAAGAGGCAGGGAGUGGCGGACGGGUGAGUACCACGUGGGUUAUCUACCGUGAGGUGAGGAAUACCGGCGAGAAAUCGCCGACAAGACCGCAUAGCCUCGGUGCAAGCCGAGCAAAGCUCUUUCGAGAGAGGGAGCGCCACACGAGGAGCCUGCGCCCGAUUAGCUAGCUGGUGGAGUAACGGUUCACCAGGGCGACGAUCGGUAGCUGGUCUGAGAGGACGAUCAGCCACACUGGGAUUGAGAACGGCCCAGACUCCUACGGGGGGCAGCAGUGAGGAAUUUUCGUCAAUGGGGGCAACCCUGAACGAGCAACGCCGCGUGCAGGAAGAAGGUUUUCGGAUCGUAAACUGCUUUUCUCGGGGAAGAGAACGGACGGUACCCGAGGAAUCAGCCCCGGCUAACUACGUGCCAGCAGCCGC
rnacentral:rRNA from 1 species